GUCUUGAGCGCCUUGCGCGCUCAAGAACAAGCAAGGGAUGAGCGCUUUGUUGCUAAAGCGGAUACGUUUUCUUGCUGGGGAAGGCUAAUUUGAUCGAGGAUUGGAGAGGAGGGAGAGGUGGAAUAAAAAGCUCGGGAUGGAUUUUGGAGUCUUUGUGCGAGCCGUAUGCGGUGAGAGUCGCUGCCAGAAUCCAUGUUCCAUAUUUGAAGCGGGUUGACCUCCGUGCUUCUC
rnacentral:lncRNA from 1 species